rnacentral:rRNA from 1 species
UACGUAGGGGCGCGAGCGUUUUAAUCGGAAUUUACUGGGCGUAAAGCGUGCGUAGACGGUUUAUUUUAAGUCAGGUGUGAAAGCCCAGGGCUCAACCUUGGAAUUUGCAUUUUGAGACUGAAUAGCUAGGGUGCGGAAGAGGGAAGCGGAAUUUUCCGGUGUAGCGGUGAAAUGCGUAGAUAUCGGAAGGAACACCAGUGGCGAAAGCGGCUUCCUGGUCCAGCACCGACGUCAGGCACGAAAGCGUGGGGAGCAAACAGG